rnacentral:tRNA from 1 species
GGGCUAUUAGCUCAGGUGGUUAGAGCGCACCCCUGAUAAGGGUGGGGUCCCUGGUUCGAGUCCAGGAUGGCCCA